GGAGAGGUCGCAUAGAGGCCUAGUGCGCUGGUUUGCUAAACCGGUAAAGGUGUCAAAACCUUUCGGGGGUUCGAAUCCCCCCCUCUCCGCCA
rnacentral:tRNA from 1 species